rnacentral:rRNA from 1 species
ACCCGCUGAACUUAAGCAUAUCAAUAAGCGGAGGAAAAGAAACCAACAGGGAUUGCCCUAGUAACGGCGAGUGAAGCAGCAACAGCUCAAGUUUGAAAUCUGGCGUCUUUGGCGUCCGAGUUGUAAUUUGCAGAGGGCGCUUUGGCAUUGGCAGCGGUCCAAGUUCCUUGGAACAGGACGUCACAGAGGGUGAGAAUCCCGUACGUGGUCGCUAGCCUUUACCGUGUAAAGCCCCUUCGACGAGUCGAGUUGUUUGGGAAUGCAGCUCUAAAUGGGAGGUAAAUUUCUUCUAAAGCUAAAUACUGGCCAGAGACCGAUAGCGCACAAGUAGAGUGAUCGAAAGAUGAAAAGCACUUUGGAAAGAGAGUUAAAAAGCACGUGAAAUUGUUGAAAGGGAAGCGCUUGCAGCCAGACUUGCCUGUAGUUGCUCAUCCGGGUUUUUACCCGGUGCACUCUUCUAUAGGCAGGCCAGCAUCAGUUUGGGCGGUUGGAUAAAGGUCUCUGUCAUGUACCUCUCUUCGGGGAGAACUUAUAGGGGAGACGACAUGCAACCAGCCCGGACUGAGGUCCGCGCAUCUGCUAGGAUGCUGGCGUAAUGGCUGU